ACCGAGAAAUACUUAUUUCGCGCUAAUCCUCGGCGCCGCGCCGGGUGCUGCGGGCUGGAAGAGCCUGCUCCUGUCUCGGGACUCCUCCCACUCUCGCUCCCGCCUGCGCGUCUCCAAAGCCCCGAGCCAGCGCGGUGUCUGCCUCUCCUCCCGCUUACCCGGACCCCAUCCACUGUUGUCUGGGUGGGCUCGGCGCUACUAGGGACCGACGUCCCACGAAGGGGGAUCGGCAGCCCCCGCGCGCGCUCAGCCACUGCCUGCUCUGAGAGCGUGCAACCCCGCGAAGCCCACAGAGCCGGGGGAAAAAUUGGCGCCCGGGUGCCUUCAAACCCCGAAGGCGCGGGGGCGGCUUUCGACCACCGACGAGGGGUUUUGCGCAGGGGGAAGGGGGACGCCCCCAGGGACUCUGACCGGCAGGUUCAGGCGGGGCGCGGGUGGGCGGCGGCCUUACCCGGGCACGAGGCCGAGGGGCACGUAGGCGGCAUUGAACUCGGUCGGGAGGGUGCCUGCGCUGCGAGAGGCCAUGGUGGGUGCGGCGAGCCCCCGCGCUCGGGCGCUCUCGGCCGGACGGUAAACAGCCCGGGGUCACCCGGCAACCGCGCGCCUGGCAACGCCAGUGGGGCCGCACUGCCGCCGAGUUCUCGGCCCCGCGCCCCGCUCGCCGUCCUCUUCCUAGAGCAGCCCCGGCAGGGCGCGCCCAGAAGAUGCCCCGCAUCCCCGCGUGCUCUGCUGUGGACCCCGCAGAUCGCCGCUGCCGCCCAAGUUCAGCUUUCACAUCCAGGAAUGGGCUCAUCUCCGAGCUUCACCGCCGGCCGGGGUGUGGUGACGCUGAGAUGCGGGACAGAGGUGGAAACUCGGCGGGGAGGCCGGGCUGGAUGCGCCCUAAGUGUCCUGUCCUCUGCAGGACUCGCGGUGACCCGGCUUGGGACGCCCUCGCUUUGGAGGCGGCGCAGGGGCCCCAGGAGCCAUUCCUCCCCUAUGCUGUCCGCCACGCCCCAGAUCCCCAAGGGGCGGCGUUUUCUCCUUUUAAUCUCUGACUCUCCCUGA
rnacentral:lncRNA from 1 species